CCUACGGGUGGCAGCAGUGAGGAAUAUUGGUCAAUGGGCGAGAGCCUGAACCAGCCAAGUCGCGUGAGGGAAGACGGUCCUAUGGAUUGUAAACCUCUUUUGUCGGGGAGCAAAAAGGCCUCGUGAGGCCACAAGUGAGAGUACCCGAAGAAAAAGCAUCGGCUAACUCCGUGCCAGCAGCCGCGGUAAUACGGAGGAUGCGAGCGUUAUCCGGAUUUAUUGGGUUUAAAGGGUGCGUAGGCGGACUGGAAAGUCAGCGGUAAAAUUGCGGGGCUCAACCUCGUCGAGCCGUUGAAACUGGGUGCCUUGAGUGGGCGAGAAGUACGCGGAAUGCGUGGUGUAGCGGUGAAAUGCAUAGAUAUCACGCAGAACUCCGAUUGCGAAGGCAGCGUACCGGCGCCCAACUGACGCUGAAGCACGAAGGCGUGGGUAUCGAACAGGAUUAGAUACCCCAGUAGUC
rnacentral:rRNA from 1 species